AUUGAACGCUAGCGGGAGGCUUUACACAUGCAAGUCGAACGAGUGGCGGACGGGUGAGUAAUAUAUCGGAACGUGCCCAGUAGAGGGGGAUAACUACUCGAAAGAGUGGCUAAUACCGCAUACUUUUGGAGCGGCCCGUAAGGGAUUAGCUAGUGGGUGGGGAAAAGGCUCACCAAGGCAACAAUCCGUAGCGGGUUUGAGAGGAGGACCAGCCACACUGGGACUGAGACACGGCCCAGACGCCUACGGGAGGCAGCAGUGGGGAAUUUUGGACAAUGGGGGAAACCCUGAUCCAGCCAUCCCGCGUGUAUGAGAAGGCCUUCGGGUUGUAAAGUACUUUUGGCAGAGAAGCGGUAUCUGCAGAAUAAGCACCGGCUAACUCCGUGCCAGCAGCCGCGGUAAUUC
rnacentral:rRNA from 1 species